UACUGGUGUGGAAAGGCCGGGUUUUCUUAGGGGCACAGAUUUAGUAAGAAAAGCACGUGAAUUUUGUUCUGUUUCAGAGCAUUGGGUGGAAGCUGGACUGUAAAAGAAUAUUCCAUGGCAUAGCUGCACACACGCCUGUAUGCUUCUCUCGUGAGAGCAUCUGUUGCUUCCCUGCCCACUGACACGCCGGGACGGCAUCUCUCAUUGCACUCGACGAACCUUGGCUGGACACGGCAGAUUUACACUCCCUCAGCAGCUUCCUGGCUGCUGUGGGGAACCGUUACCUUUGAGGAAAUGUCUUUCCAGCGGGUCUUGCCUGAGGCUCCAGCUCCGCCUAAGCAUUCCCCUCGGCUUUUGCUCCUGAUCUGCGCUGCAUCUUCUGUGAUGAUUCCUGCUCAGACAGCAAUGCGCUGCAAACGAAGUUCCAAAGUUAUUCAAGCAAGGCUGCCGUGAGCCAUCUCCCCGCCAGCCAGGUUUCUAAGCUGAGCACCAACAGUUGAAAGCAGACCUCCAAGAGCGGCCGGCUUCCCGGAGCUCCCAUCCAGACUCAGUGGUCAGACCUAUGGAAGAAAACUGAUUCCAGCCGUUUACUUUGUGCGGUAAAUGCGCUGUAAGCUUCUUGAGGACAUCUGCUCUGUUCCAGUUCCCUACACAGCUUCACGUGUGGAUUUGAAACCCAGGUAAUGCCGGCGCUGAACCCGUCCAACGAGGCUGCAGUAGUCCCACCCUACCCGCCAGCCACGUACAUAUGGGAGUCCAGAGGCGGAGAAGUCACCAGGCUGCCCAAAGCAGUGGCGGGCAGUGACCCGCGGGUGGGCUAGUAGAGUUCUGCCCACAGGGAAAUAAAAGCAGAGUCUUUUCCACUCAGCCUAGAAUUCAAGCAGCGAAGACCCGACUUUUCUGAUGUUCUCAGUAUGAUGCCGAACUUCCCAUGCUGCGAACACAGCUGUAGCCGUGAGGGCUGGCCCCUUCCAGAAGCUGGGCACGCAGGAAACGUCACAAGCUACCUGUCAAAAAUCUGACUGGAAUGAGAUGUGAGUGAAAUCAGAAUCAGGCCUACUACAUGCAGUUAAUCAUAAAUAAUGCUGUCUCGGUAAUGGUUGCAAUUAGUUAUGAACUUCAAUCAUUUCUAACGUUUCCAUGUUGGCCAAUUAUGCUGCAGAAAUUAUCAAGUAACCCAUAGCACAUUAGCUUUCUGUAAUGCCAUUGUUUGGACGUGCUCAGGUCACCAGAUCCUCGCCAGGAUGAAUUAGCAUAGCUCUCCCGAGUACAAUGGUGCUCUGCUGAUUUACACUGCCUGAGAAGCUGGCCCUUUGUCUGCUGCAGUUGUAGCUGCAGCAAGUUUAAAUCACAGCCUUGCAGUAGAGACUCUUAGGACCCAGCCUCAUAGAAACAAUGGCAUGCGUGUUUUCUCUCCGGACUGUGCGGGUGACUUAUUAGAUGCCAACGGUAAUUCUUGUGUCUGGUGGUAGUUCAACAAUAAGCUGAAAUCAUACUUUGAUGGUGCAAUUUGAAGCUGGGAAGAGGAACACAAUUAAUGGGCUCGUGUGACUUCUUAAAAAGAGAAGCCUCUCAGAUAAGGAAAUUUCUUAAACUCGUGCUGACGAGCGGCUUAAAACUUCCUUACGUGCUUGGCCUACAGCUUGUUAAAAUACUUUUGUUUUGAUUUUACAGGACUGCAGAGCUGUGUUAGGACCGCUG